UAUCAACACCAUUUACACUCGUAGUCACGAUCAGCUUGCAGACUUGUUCACAAAGGCUUUGGACUCUACUCAUCUUCAAAGGCUACUGAGCAAGCUUGGAUCAAUUAACCCACUUGAUCCAGCUUGAGGGGGAGUAUUGAAACUAGACACAACAUGCUCUAUGAUGUCAAGUUGCAGCUGCAACUUUAUCCCAUAUUUUCAGGUAAAGUGGCUACUGCCACUACCGUCACCCUUGGUCCAUAUAGCUGCAACUUUAUCCCAUGUUUUCAGGUAAAGUGGCUACUGCCACUACCGUCACCCUUGGUCCAUAUCCCUUAAUUCUAGGGUUUAUGUCUCUUAGUAUCUUUGCCCCUAUCUUUCUUGUAAAUUGUUCCUUGAUUUCCGAUUGUAAGUGUGCAAAAGGAGUAUGUCUUCUCUCCUUCCUUUUCGGUCUCUAUAUAGAGCCGUCCCUUGUAGUUCUAAAAUAUAUAGAGAAAUUUACAAAACCUUUUUGGGUUCUAAAUUUUCACAUUGCUAGAUUGAGGUUUUUUGAAAGUUGCUUUGCAGAUGGCUCUAUCUCCCUUGAAAGUCACUAUAUGCUAUCAGGAGGAAUGACGUCCAUAACCACCCCUCCAACUCAUCGACCUCUUCAAAGAGCAGCAGAAUAUAUUUUAAAUUAAAAUUUCAUGGAUUGUAGAUCUUUUCAUUGAAUUGUUAAAUCCCUAACUUCGUUUUUUUCUUGCCUUUUGGUGACCAGAUGCAAGUCAUUCUUCAACAGGUUGGCUUAACAAGUUGGCUCAAUCUACUACUUAGAGAAGAUUUCAUGUGUUGUUUUUUUUUUUCUCUAUUUUUCAAUCUUCCAUAAAAACACGGGUGAGGAACUCAUUCAUCAUCAAGCUUUGUAAGUCAGCAGGACCGUACAAAUAAGGAGAACAAUUCAAACCGAGUGCUGCGAAAUGUUCUUUCGUAUAUGCAGAAGGGUUCAUCCGAGUCUGCUUGCUUGGCAGACUUGCACUUUGGAAGUUAUAACCUUUCAAUUUAGAAGUUGCAACCCCAUAGGAAAAGAUGGAUACCAUGGCGUUGAUAUUGCAAGAAGACUUUAUGUUUGUAGUUUGUAAUAUUGUUCAUCUUUGAAUUAGGAUGGGUUUUUAUAUGAAAUUUUUAAUGUU